UACGGAGGGUGCAAGCGUUAAUCGGAAUUACUGGGCGUAAAGCGCGCGUAGGCGGCAAAUUAAGUUGGAUGUGAAAGCCCCAGGCUUAACCUGGGAACGGCAUUCAAAACUAAUUAGCUAGAGUAUAGUAGAGGAUGGUGGAAUUUCCUGUGUAGCGGUGGAAUGCAUAGAUAUAGGAAAGAACAUCAGUGGCGAAGGCGGCCAUCUGGGCUAAUACUGACGCUGAGGUGCGAAAGCGUGGGGAGCAAACAGG
rnacentral:rRNA from 1 species